rnacentral:tRNA from 2 species
AAAUCCGUCGACUUUCGAGAUCGUGAGGGUUCAAAUCCC